rnacentral:rRNA from 1 species
GGAUGCGAUCAUACCAGCACUAAAGCACCGGAUCCCAUCAGAACUCCGAAGCUAAGCGUGCUUGGGCGAGAGUAGUACUAGGAUGGGUGACCUCGUGGGAAGUCCUCAUGUUGCAUUCC